rnacentral:rRNA from 1 species
AGUCGAGCGGUAAAGACCUUCUUGCUUGUCUUGAGCGCGGAACAGGUGAGUAUCAUGUGGGUGAUCUGGCCUGGACUUCGGGAAAAACCUGCGAAAAUGGACCUAAUUCCGGAUAGGAGCUCCUGCUGCAUGGUGGGGGUUGGAAAGUUUUUUCGCUGUCGGAUGAGCCCGCGUCCUAUUAGCUUGUUGGUGAGGUAAUGGCCUACCAAGGCGACGAUCCGUAGUGGUCUGAGAGGAUGAUCGGCCACCUUGGGACUGAGACACGGCCCAGACUCCUCGGGGGCGCAGUGGGGAAUAUUGCACAAUGGGCGAAAGCCUGAUGCAGCGUGCCGCGUGAGGGAUGACGGCCUUCGAUUUGUAAACCUCUUUCAUUGGGACGAAGGUGAGUGACGGUACCUGCAGAUUAUCACCGGCCAACUACGUGCCAGCCCCGCGGUCUACGCCGGGUGCGAGCGUUGUACGGAAUUACUGGGCGUAAAGAGCUCUUACUGGGCUUGUCGCGUCCGCCGUGAAAACUUGGAGCUCAACCCCAAGCUUGCGGGCGAUACGGGCAAACUUGAUUACUGCCUGGGAGACUGGAAUUCCUGGUGUAGCGGUGAAAUGCGCAGAUAUCCGGAGAAACGCCGGUGGCGAAGGCGGAUCUCUUGGUGAUUAACUGAAGCUGAUGAACGAAUACGUGGGUAGCGAGCAAGCAUUAGAUAGAUCUGGUAGUUCACGCACGUAAACGGUGGACGCUAGGUGUGCGUUUCAUUCCUCGAGAUCCGUGUGCGUAGCUAACGCAUUAAAAGCCCCCCCUGGGGAGUACGGCCGCACAGGCUAAAAAUCAAAGGAAUUGACGGGGGGCCGCACAAGCGGCGGAGCAUGUGGAUUAAUUCGAUGCAACGCGAAGAGACCUUACCUGGGUUUGACACACACCAGAAACGUCUAGAGAUAGGCGCCCCCUUUUGGUUGGUGUACAGACAGUGCAUGCAUGUCGUCAGUCAGUUUCGUUAGAUGGAGGGUUAAGUAAGUCAACGAGCGCAACCCUUCUUUGUCGUUAGCAGCCAGCGAUGGUGGGGGGUCGCUGGAGGGAGCCGGGGUCAGCUAAGAGGAAGGAGGGGGGGGAGUCAAGUAAUCAUUCACGGCCUGUCCAGCCUGUCACACACGCUACAAUCAACGGUCCAGACGGAGGGGAUACAAUGAGGGGGAGGGAAUUCAUUAAAUACGGUCUCUGUUAGUAUCGGUGUCAGUAACUAGCUCGCGUGAAGUAAGUGUGAAUAGUAAUUACAGAUCAACCAGAAUGCGGCGAAGAAUUGUUGGCCGUCGUCACCACGCCCGUCGUCUCACCAAAGGAGUAACAGCAGCAGAAGUAGGUAGUAAUAACCUUGUGGGAGGGAACGG